rnacentral:rRNA from 1 species
GGACGAACGCUGGCGGCGUGCUUAACACAUGCAAGUCGAACGGAAAGGCCCUGCUUUUGUGGGGUGCUCGAGUGGCGAACGGGUGAGUAACACGUGAGUAACCUGCCCUUGACUUUGGGAUAACUUCAGGAAACUGGGGCUAAUACCGGAUAGGAGCUCCUGCUGCAUGGUGGGGGUUGGAAAGUUUCGGCGGUUGGGGAUGGACUCGCGGCUUAUCAGCUUGUUGGUGGGGUAGUGGCUUACCAAGGCUUUGACGGGUAGCCGGCCUGAGAGGGUGACCGGCCACAUUGGGACUGAGAUACGGCCCAGACUCCUACGGGAGGCAGCAGUGGGGAAUAUUGCACAAUGGGCGGAAGCCUGAUGCAGCAACGCCGCGUGCGGGAUGAAGGCCUUCGGGUUGUAAACCGCUUUCGCCUGUGACGAAGCGUGAGUGACGGUAAUGGGUAAAGAAGCACCGGCUAACUACGUG